AAAAGAUUUAGAACUCUUAGCUCCUUCUCCAGCAUUAUGUCUUCCUGGACGCUGUCAUGUUUCCCACCAUGGUGAUAAUGGUUAUCAUGGCCUUAGUUAUGGUGUCUCCACAGCAGCCAAGCCCUAAGACAGCCUGCAAUGCUGCCUGCUCCUUUACAAGGGUUUGAGCUGCAAGUCAGCACCCAAGAACGGCACCUCUCCUGAAGCAGGUCUACACCCAACCAGCCUGUGUGUUAGUAACUCUUAUUGUCACUGUGACAAAAUGCCUGACAGAAGUGACCUGAGCGAGGGAGGUUAUCCAGGCUCAGUUUCAGGGGAGCUCAGGUGAGAGUGGUGGCUGGAUGUUCACACUGCAGCAGGCAGGAUGCAGAGGAAGCAGGCCAGACCACAAGUGGGAAUUGUCUUCACAGGCCCGGCUCCAGUGAUCUCAUCCCCACCAUCUAGGCCUCAUGUCCCGAUGGUGCCACAUCUCCCAGAACAGUGCCAUCUGAGCCUCAGUACACACUCCAGACCCACAAUCUCCACACACUGCACACCCACAAUCUCCACACACUGCAGACCCACAAUCUCCACACACUCCAGACCCCAAUCUCCACACACUGCACACCCACAAUCUCCACACACUGCAGACCCACAGUCCCCCAGAGCAGUGCCAUCUGAGCCUGCAGUACACACUCCAGACUUAAACCAUACGGCGUCCCAGCUGAAAAUACCUGCAGUGGAAAGUGC
rnacentral:lncRNA from 1 species